rnacentral:rRNA from 1 species
GUCCAGACUCCUACGGGAGGCAGCAGUGAGGAAUAUUGGUCAAUGGGCUUACGCCUGAACCAGCCAAGCCGCGUGAGGGAAGACGGCCCUACGGGUUGUAAACCUCUUUUGUCGGGGAGCAAAGAGAGUCACGUGUGACUCAUUGAGAGUACCCGAAGAAAAAGCAUCGGCUAACUCCGUGCCAGCAGCCGCGGUAAUACGGAGGAUGCGAGCGUUAUCCGGAUUUAUUGGGUUUAAAGGGUGCGUAGGCGGGCUUUUAAGUCAGCGGUAAAAAUUCGGGGCUCAACCCCGUCCGGCCGUUGAAACUGGGGGCCUUGAGUGGGCGAGAAGAAGGCGGAAUGCGUGGUGUAGCGGUGAAAUGCAUAGAUAUCACGCAGAACCCCGAUUGCGAAGGCAGCCUUCCGGCGCCCUACUGACGCUGAGGCACGAAAGUGCGGGGAUCGAACAGGAUUAGAUACCCCGGUAAA